AUGAAGAUACAAAUCAGGAAGCCAAAAUUUUUACAAAGAUCCAUGAUGAGACGUGAUGUCUCAUAUUACGACAGAAUCCAGUGCAAUGGACCCGUUGAGGCAUGCUCGUCUAUGCAACAUGACAUUCCUGAGGAUAAUAAUUUAUCACGUUUGCAUGAAAAGGUUGGCGACCAUGAUGUCAACCAAUUACAAAUUCAACAAAAUUCAUCAUCAUCACAAGACCUUGUUAUUGAUUCUGUGCUAGAGGUGAUGGAAACGAGGAAUAUUACGGGUGAAUCAAUUUCAAGACCGAACCAGCAAAGGACUAGAAAUGAACACCCACACCGCUCAAAAAGAAGGCGUUCUUCUUCCAUCAAGGUUGCUUCCAAAGUAGUCUUAAAGACUUCAACAUAUCCCAACAAGCGGAAUGUUGCAUAUGGUACUAUUCGGAGUACUGAUCCAAGAACUAAGGCUGGUGGUAUUGAGUUAGGUGCUGAAUUUGCUCUUGUGCGCAUAGACGAACCUAUUCUUGAUAAUGAGGAGUUAGUAAGGGAAGUUUCUGAUUGCAAGACAAUUGGCGAGGCUUUCACUUCAGGAUACUUAAUUGCCUGGCCUUCAUCUUUUAUUCGAGAGAAGGAUGGUUGA
rnacentral:rRNA from 1 species